rnacentral:lncRNA from 14 species
GAGUAAUGAUUCCAGCCCUAAGGGCUGCACAAGCUAUCUCUAGACUGAGCCUGGGACAAUUAAUACCUCUAAGAUGGGCUUAAUGGAUUGUUUGAGAUUUGGGGCUGUGAAGUACAAUCGAAAGCAAAGUCUCUGACUAUUGUUAUAAUUGUUAACAGGCUCCUUUUGAAGCCCUGUGCAAAGAAAUGGAUAGACUUCAACCAUCAAUAAUAUCGCUGGAGGAGAAAAUUGAAGGGAUAUCUGCCCAAUUAAAUAACCUGCAGGGCUGGAAUUGAGAAUCAAUGUGGCAUGAACGAUGAGCUUUGGACUGCCAACGCUGAACACUAAAUCCAUUGCAGCCUCUGCUUUAACAAAGAGAGAAGGAUGGGGAGGAAUACUGCAGCUGGGAUUUCCCGGACUGCACACACUGUGUUGAGAGGCAGGAGGUAGCUCAGCAUCACUGUCCUGUGCUCUGGGACACAACCAAGGCGUAUGGGAUCUUCAGAGAUCUUCACUGCUCAGGAUGUAUCACUCGCUGGCAACGCUGGGACCACCCUGCUCAAGGGAGCCACCAAGGCAGAGUGCACCUUCUGUGGAAGUCCAAUCCCAUCACCUGGGCCUCUGUCCAGCAGUGAUUAAAGGGUCUUUCCAAGCCCACCUGAGGAUGUGUGCCCACAUCGUUCCUCUUCUCAUCACCUCUAUGGACAUCCAGCGUUGAGUUGGAGCUUGGGUUAUUAAGACCUUAUGUAGAGAGUGAAGCUGCUCCCACAUAUGUGUUCCUUUCCUCUACCUAUUUGCAGCUGUUAAA